ACUAAAUGAUUAAUAGAUAAGUUCUUUAAAAUUAAAAAAUUUGGCGGUAUUUUAGUCUAUUCAGAGGAACCUGUUCUAUAAUUGAUAGUCCACGAUUAAAUAUACUUUAGUUUUUAAUUUACAUAUCGUUGUAGUUUGAGUAUUUUAUAAGAAGUGUGAAAUGUUCAAUAUGUUAAUUAUUAAAAUUUAAAUCAAAUCAAGGUGUAGUUUAUAUUAAAGUAGAAAUGGGUUACAUUAAUUAGAUAAUUUAUAGGAUAAUUAAUUUUUUAAAAGGAGUUUGAAUUUGGAUUUGAUAGUAAUUUUAUUUAUU
rnacentral:rRNA from 1 species